AUGUUUUCUUAAGGCAAUCCUCACCAUCUCAUCUGCAAGUCACACCUGUUAGAAAAUUUGGGUCACCAACUCAAUGUUGUGUCAUUAUGAGUAAAAUGCCGAGCAGGGUAUAGCCUGCAUUUUGCAGAGUUCAUGUGCCUACCUCCAAGAGGUGACCUUACUUCUCUGGCCAUUCAGUUGAUGCCUACAAGGAUGAAAUCUUGGGCUGCAUUCAGUUCAUGACAUCGUAAGCGGCGUAAGCCGUGAUCAUCCCACCAUCUCACAGUUACAUCUCCGACGCUUCAUCUGUUUUAGCAGGAAAUGAGAAACUGGAUGCUAUUAUCUUCAGUUUUGCAUGCUGUUGAAUCCUGUGUUACAAAAUCUUAAGAACCUCUUUCAGUCUUUCCUAAAGGCAGUAUACUUCAAGUAAAACAGAAAGGGGGAUGCUUUUCUUUCA